rnacentral:rRNA from 1 species
GACGAACGCUGGCGGCGUGCUUAACACAUGCAAGUCGAACGGAAAGGCCCUGCUUUUGUGGGGUGCUCGAGUGGCGAACGGGUGAGUAACACGUGAGUAACCUGCCCUUGACUUUGGGAUAACUUCAGGAAACUGGGGCUAAUACCGGAUAGGAGCUCCUGCUGCAUGGUGGGGGUUGGAAAGUUUCGGCGGUUGGGGAUGGACUCGCGGCUUAUCAGCUUGUUGGUGGGGUAGUGGCUUACCAAGGCUUUGACGGGUAGCCGGCCUGAGAGGGUGACCGGCCACAUUGGGACUGAGAGACGGCCCAGACUCCUACGGGAGGCAGCAGUCGGGAAUAUUGCACAAUGGGCGGAAGCCUGAUGCAGCAACGCCGCGUGCGGGAUGACGGCCUUCGGGUUGUAAACCGCUUUCGCCUGUGACGAAGAGUGAGUGACGGUAAUGGGUCAAGAAGCACCGGCUAACUACGUG